rnacentral:misc_RNA from 1 species
UGCGGCGACGGAACGCAUUCCCGCAGGCCACAAGGUUGCGGUGAAGCCGAUUGCGGUCGGAGAGCCCGUCAAGCGCUACGGCCAGAUCAUCGGUUUCGCCACCGUUCCGAUCGCGCCGGGACAGCAUGUCCAUGUGCAGANCAUGGGGGAGUUUUCCAAGGACUAUGCCUACGGUGUCGACGUCAAGCCGACGCCGAAUUUCGAUCUGCCCGCGACGUUUCAGGGCAUCCGGCGUCCAGAUGGACGCGUGGCGACC